rnacentral:rRNA from 1 species
AGAGUUUGAUCCUGGCUCAGAUUGAACGUUGGCGGCAGGCCUAACACAUGCAAGUCGAACGGUAACAGCAGGAGCUUGCUCCUGGCUGACGAGUGGCGGACGGGUGAGUAACGCGUAGGAAUCUACCCAGUAGCGGGGGACAACCCGAGGAAACUCGGGCUAAUACCGCAUAAGCUCUACGGAGUAAAGAAGGCCUCUAUUUAAGCUUUCACUAUUGGAGGAGCCUGCGUCGGAUUAGCUAGUUGGUGGGGUAAAGGCCCACCAAGGCAACGAUCCGUAGCUGGUCUGAGAGGACGACCAGCCACACUGGAACUGAGACACGGUCCAGACUCCUACGGGAGGCAGCAGUGGGGAAUCUUGGGCAAUGGGCGCAAGCCUGACCCAGCCAUGCCGCGUGUGUGAAGAAGGCUCUAGGGUUGUAAAGCACUUUCAGUGGUGAAGAAAAGUUGACGGUCAAUACCCGUCAGCCCUGACGUUAACCACAGAAGAAGCACCGGCUAACUCCGUGCCAGCAGCCGCGGUAAUACGGAGGGUGCGAACGUUAAUCGGAAUUACUGGGCGUAAAGCGCGCGUAGGUGGUUUGUUAAGCGAGAUGUGAAAGCCCCGGGCUCAACCUGGGAACUUGCGUUCCAAACUGGCUCACUAGAGUACGAUAGAGGGGGGUAGAAUUUCAGGUGUAGCGGUGAAAUGCGUAGAGAUCUGAAGGAAUACCGGUGGCGAAGGGCGGCCCCCUGGAUUGAUACUGACACUGAGGUGCGAAAGCGUGGGUAGCAAACAGGAUUAGAUACCCUGGUAGUCCACGCCGUAAACGAUGUCUACUAGCCGUUGGAAUCCUUAGAGGUUUUAGUGGCGCAGCAAACGCAAUAAGUAGACCGCCUGGGGAGUACGGCCGCAAGGCUAAAACUCAAAUGAAUUGACGGGGGCCCGCACAAGCGGUGGAGCAUGUGGUUUAAUUCGAAGCAACGCGAAGAACCUUACCUACUCUUGACAUCCUCGGAAUUUAGCAGAGAUGCUUUAGUGCCUUCGGGAACCGAGAGACAGGUGCUGCAUGGCUGUCGUCAGCUCGUGUCGUGAGAUGUUGGGUUAAGUCCCGUAACGAGCGCAACCCUUAUCCUUAUUUGCCAGCGGGUUAUGCCGGGAACUUUAAGGAGACUGCCGGUGACAAACCGGAGGAAGGUGGGGAUGACGUCAAGUCAUCAUGGCCCUCACGGGGUGGGCUACAAACGUGCUACAAUGGGAAGUACAAAGGGCUGCAAUCCCGCGAGGGGGAGCGAAUCCCAAAAAACUUUUCGUAGUCCGGAUAGGAGUCUGCAACUCGACUCCUUGAAGUCGGAAUCGCUAGUAAUCGCGAAUCAGAAUGUCGCGGUGAAUACGUUCCCGGGCCUUGUACACACCGCCCGUCACGUCAUGGAAGUGGGUUGCACCAGAAGUAGCUAGUCUAACCUUCGGGAGGACGGUUACCACGGUGUGAUUCAUGACUGGGACGAAGUCGUAACAAGGUAACC